rnacentral:rRNA from 1 species
UUCGUAGGGGGUCUGCCAAGUCUGAUGUGAAAUCCCGUGGCUCAACCGCGGACGUGCAUUGGAUACUGUCGGACUAGAGUUCUUGAUGGGAAAGCGGAAUUCCAGGUGUAGCGGUGGAAUGCGUAGAUAUCUGGAAGAACACCGGUGGCGAAGGCGGCUUUCUGGCAAGAUACUGACCCUGAUGGACGAAAGCGUGGGUAGCGAACAGGAUUAGAUACCCUGGUAGUCC